CGCGGGGUAGAGCAGUUUGGUAGCUCGUCGGGCUCAUAACCCGGAGGCCGCAGGUUCAAAUCCUGCCCCCGCAACCA
rnacentral:tRNA from 1 species